GAAAUGCGAUAAGUAAUGUGAAUUGCAGAAUUCAGUGAAUCAUCGAAUCUUUGAACGCACCUUGCGCUCCUUGGUAUUCCUUGGAGCAUGCCUGUUUGAGUAUCAUGAAAUCUUCAAAGUAAAUCUUUUGUUAACUCAAUUGGUUUCUACUUUGGUAUUGGAGGUCUUUGCAGCUUCACACCUGCUCCUCUUUGUUCAAUAGCUGGAUCUCAGUGUUAUGCUUGGUUCCACUCGGCGUGAUAAGUUAUCUAUCGCUGAGGACACUGUAAAAGGUGGCCAAGGAAAUGCAGAUGAACCGCUUCUAAUAGUCCAUUGACUUGGACAAUACUUUUAUGAUCUGAUCUCAAAUCAGGUAGGACUACCCGCUGAACUUAAGC
rnacentral:misc_RNA from 1 species